GUUAAGGUGCUUUUAGAGGGUAGCGAACUACUGAUACACCUUCAUACACCCUUCCUCUUGAGAACGAAAUAUCUAGCUUUCUUCAUCUGUCUGUGACGGAUUGGGCAGUUCUCGUGAUCGUCCAGGUUCAGUCAUCUGCGCACGAUGUAGAUAACUACCUGCUUCUACGUUUGGGUUGCUGAAGCUUUCCAUCGUAACGAGCCAAGUCGGACCUUGGGGUGUUUCAAACCGUGCCAGCUGGUCUGCGCUAUAAAACGUUCCACCUCCAAUAUCAUAAGCACGCCACAUUCUCACGCCUCUAUUCUUGUACUAGAAGUUAUUCAAUGCCUGUACACCGGUCAUGGUGCCGAUUAAACUUGUGACUUCUAAGGCUAAAAAAAA